rnacentral:rRNA from 1 species
ACUUGCUGCCACACCAGUGUAAAAGCCCCCGAUCUCGUUUGAUCACGGAAGCUAAAUACGCUCAGGAUCGGCCAGUACUUGGAUGGGAGACCACCUGGGAACCCCGAGUGCUGUAAGCU